CCUACGGGGGGCUGCAGUUUCGAAUCAUUCACAAUGGGCGAAAGCCUGAUGGUGCGACGCCGCGUGAGGGAUGAAGGCCUUCGGGUUGUAAACCUCUGUCACUGGGGAAGAAACGCUUCAAGUUAAUAGCUUGAAGCCUGACUUAACCCAGAGAGGAAGCAGUGGCUAACUCUGUGCCAGCAGCCGCGGUACUACAGAGACUGAGUGCGUUAUUCGGAUGCGUUGGGCGGCGAGGGUGCGCGUGCGGCGGGAAAGCCCGGGGCUUAACCUCGGAAUUGCGCCUAAAACUACACGGCUAGAGCAUUGGAGAGGGUAGCGGAAUUCACGGCGUAGCAGUGAAAUGCGUAGAUAUCGUGAGGAACACCAGAGGCGAAGGCGGCUACCUGGACAAUUGCUGACGCUCAGGCACGAAAGCGUGGGGAGCAAAAGGGAUUAGAUACCCGUGUAGUC
rnacentral:rRNA from 1 species